rnacentral:rRNA from 1 species
GAUUUCUGGACUGAAGCAUUUAGCCGGCCGCGGUUUCGCGUGUUAGUGCUGGAUGCUCUGUCCAUCCUUCCAAUCGCUAUUGGCUAUUCUUCAUUGAAUGGUCAGUAGUAUUGGAUCUUUUACUUUGAAAAAAUUAGAGUGUUUAAAGCAGGCUUACGCUAUGAAUACAUUAGCAUGGAAUAAUAAUAUAGGACUUUGGUUCUAUUUUGUUGGUUUCUAGGACUGAAGUAAUGAUUGAUAGGGAUAGUUGGGGGUGCUAGUAUUCAGUGGCCAGAGGUGAAAUUCUUGGAUUCACUGAAGACUAACUACUGCGAAAGCAUU